ACAGUAAAUAAAGGCAACAGUAGUAUACCGAUGUUCAAACUCAUAAAUCCAUGGACAAAAACAAAAUCGGGGUAACAAACUAAAACUGAGGGAAACGCAUUAAAUAUAAGAGGAGAACAACGACACAACACUACAAUGUAACACACACAGAAACGGACCAAGCAACAGACAAAAUCCCACGAGAAUAACAAAUAUAACAUCAAAACCAAAUACAUGAAUUUGGGAUAGACAAGUACCGUGACACGUCUUAUCGCAAUGUGAAUUUACACUAAAAAAUAAGAGAAAACAAACGACGCAACGUUAAAAUGUAACACAUACAGAAACGAACUAUAAUAUAACAAUGGCCAUAUUCCUGACUUGGUACAGGACAUUUUUAAAGAAAAAAAUGGCGGGUUGAACCUGGUUUUGUGGCAUGCCAAACCUUCCCUUUUAUAGCCAUGUGAAAUAUAACAUUAAGAUGACAACUCAACCCCACAGGACUACAAUAUAAAUAAAUUGGAGAAUACAAUUGACAAAGAAACACACGAACAACAGCCAACAAAAGGCAACAAGUUGAAAAUUUUAAUACGCC
rnacentral:lncRNA from 1 species